UGGGGAAUAUUGCACAAUGGGCGAAAGCCUGAUGCAGCGACGCCGCGUGAGGGAUGACGGCCUUCGGGUUGUAAACCUCUUUCAGCAGGGAAGAAGCGCAAGUGACGGUACCUGCAGAAGAAGCACCGGCUAACUACGUGCCAGCAGCCGCGGUAAUACGUAGGGUGCGAGCGUUGUCCGGAAUUAUUGGGCGUAAAGAGCUCGUAGGCGGCUUGUCGCGUCGGAUGUGAAAGCCCGGGGCUUAACUCCGGGUCUGCAUUCGAUACGGGCAGGCUAGAGUUCGGUAGGGGAGAUCGGAAUUCCUGGUGUAGCGGUGAAAUGCGCAGAUAUCAGGAGGAACACCGGUGGCGAAGGCGGAUCUCUGGGCCGAUACUGACGCUGAGGAGCGAAAGCGUGGGGAGCGAACA
rnacentral:rRNA from 2 species